AUUCUGCCCAAGCGGGGAAGGAUGAGAAGCUUCGACCAAGGUUCGACUUGAGCGCCAGCGAGAGAGCGUUGCCGAAGGCAACGACCCGAAGGGCGAAGCGCGCAGCGCUGAGUAAUCCUUCCCCCACCACCA
rnacentral:sRNA from 1 species